CGGUAGGGUGAGGCAGCUGGUGUUGUGAAUCAGGCCGCCGCAGUGCCGGUACGGCUACUUCACAACACCAGGGUCGCACCCUAACCACAG
rnacentral:pre_miRNA from 1 species